rnacentral:rRNA from 1 species
AGGACGAACGCUGGCGGCGUGCUUAACACAUGCAAGUCGAGCGGAAAGGCCCUUCGGGGUACUCGAGCGGCGAACGGGUGAGUAACACGUGAGCAACCUGCCCUCAGCUCUGGGAUAGCUCCGGGAAACCGGAAUUAAUACCGGAUACGACUACGGCCGACAUCGGCUUUGGUGGAAAGGAUUUCCGGCUGAGGAUGGGCUCGCGGCCUAUCAGCUAGUUGGUGGGGUAAUGGCCCACCAAGGCGACGACGGGUAGCCGGCCUGAGAGGGCGACCGGCCACACUGGGACUGAGACACGGCCCAGACUCCUACGGGAGGCAGCAGUGGGGAAUAUUGCGCAAUGGGCGAAAGCCUGACGCAGCGACGCCGCGUGGGGGAUGAAGGCCUUCGGGUUGUAAACCCUUUCAGCAGGGACGAAGCGCAAGUGACGGUACCUGCAGAAGAAGCGCCGGCUAACUACGCGCCAGCAGCCGC